rnacentral:rRNA from 1 species
CCUACGGGCGGCUGCAGUGGGGAAUAUUGCACAAUGGGCGCAAGCCUGAUGCAGCCAUGCCGCGUGUGUGAAGAAGGCCUUCGGGUUGUAAAGCACUUUCAGCGGGGAGGAAGGCGGUGAGGUUAAUAACCUCAUCGAUUGACGUUACCCGCAGAAGAAGCACCGGCUAACUCCGUGCCAGCAGCCGCGGUAAUACGGAGGGUGCAAGCGUUAAUCGGAAUUACUGGGCGUAAAGCGCACGCAGGCGGUCUGUCAAGUCGGAUGUGAAAUCCCCGGGCUCAACCUGGGAACUGCAUUCGAAACUGGCAGGCUAGAGUCUUGGAGAGGGGGGUAGAAUUCCAGGUGUAGCGGUGAAAUGCGUAGAGAUCUGGAGGAAUACCGGUGGCGAAGGCGGCCCCCUGGACAAAGACUGACGCUCAGGUGCGAAAGCGUGGGGAGCAAACAGGAUUAGAUACCCGUGUAGUC